AUGGACAACACCCUGCAUGCAAAGUGUGAUAGGAUAAGCACAUUGAGCCUUAUCCUGCCAAGAUUAAGUGAUGUUUGCAUGAAGGGGCAAUUAGUUCGUCGGCAAACAUCUGACAAGGGAUUCCCCAGAAUGAUAUCUUCCUCAUCCAUGGAUGCCCAGGAUGAUCUUUCUGCCAUCGAGAAUCAGGUGCACAAGCUAAUCGAUGAUUUGAGAAGCGAUUUCAUAGAAGGUCAGAGAUCAGCGACAUCAGAGAUUCGCCUUCUAGCCAAGCACAACAUGGAGAGCAGGAUUGUCCUUGCAAAUUGUGGGGCUAUAAACUUGCUGGUUGGUCUUCUUCAUUCACCAGAUGCCAAGAUCCAAGAAAAUGCAGUGACAGCGCUCCUCAAUCUGUCCAUCAGUGAUAACAAUAGGAUUGCCAUUGUGAAUGCAGAUGCUGUUGAUCCUCUCAUCCAUGUCCUGGAAACAGGGAACCCUGAAGCUAAAGAGAAUUCAGCAGCUACUUUGUCCAGUCUCUUGGUUAUUAAAGAAAACAAAGUGAGGGUUGGACGAUCUGGUGCCGUCAAGCCUCUCGUGGACUUGCUGGUAAGUGGGACCCCGCAAGGAAAGAAAGAUGCAACUAUUGCAUUGUUUUAUUUAUCCAUACUUCAUGAGAACAAGGGUCGCAUUGUGCAAGCUGAUGCAGUGAAGCAACUAGUUAAGCUUAUGGAUCCUGCUCUUGGAAUGACCGACAAAGCUGUAGCUGUCUUGGCAAAUCUUGCUAUGAUACCAGAAGGGAGAACUGCGAUUUGGGAGACGCGAGGUAUUCGAGCUCUUGUUGAAGUUGUCGAACUGGGUUCACCGAGAGGGAAGGAAAAUGCUGCCGCGGCAUUGCUUCAGCUAUGCACAAACAGCAACCGAUAUUGCAGCGUAGUUCUUAAAGAGGGCGCCGUGCCCCCUUUAGCCACACUGUCACAGUCAGGAACACCGCGAGCAAGAGAAAAGGCACAGGCUCUUAUCAGCUACUUCCGCAGCCUGAGACAUGGGAACUCAUUAAGCGUUUCCAGGUGGUUGACCGGUGCUGCGCAUUUAUAG
rnacentral:rRNA from 1 species